AGAGUUUGAUCAUGGCUCAGAUUGAACGCUGGCGGCAGGCCUAACACAUGCAAGUCGAGCGGUAGAGAGAAGCUUGCUUCUCUUGAGAGCGGCGGACGGGUGAGUAAUGCCUAGGAAUCUGCCUGGUAGUGGGGGAUAACGUUCGGAAACGGACGCUAAUACCGCAUACGUCCUACGGGAGAAAGCAGGGGACCUUCGGGCCUUGCGCUAUCAGAUGAGCCUAGGUCGGAUUAGCUAGUUGGUGAGGUAAUGGCUCACCAAGGCGACGAUCCGUAACUGGUCUGAGAGGAUGAUCAGUCACACUGGAACUGAGACACGGUCCAGACUCCUACGGGAGGCAGCAGUGGGGAAUAUUGGACAAUGGGCGAAAGCCUGAUCCAGCCAUGCCGCGUGUGUGAAGAAGGUCUUCGGAUUGUAAAGCACUUUAAGUUGGGAGGAAGGGUUGUAGAUUAAUACUCUGCAAUUUUGACGUUACCGACAGAAUAAGCACCGGCUAACUCUGUGCCAGCAGCCGCGGUAAUACAGAGGGUGCAAGCGUUAAUCGGAAUUACUGGGCGUAAAGCGCGCGUAGGUGGUUUGUUAAGUUGGAUGUGAAAUCCCCGGGCUCAACCUGGGAACUGCAUUCAAAACUGACUGACUAGAGUAUGGUAGAGGGUGGUGGAAUUUCCUGUGUAGCGGUGAAAUGCGUAGAUAUAGGAAGGAACACCAGUGGCGAAGGCGACCACCUGGACUAAUACUGACACUGAGGUGCGAAAGCGU
rnacentral:rRNA from 1 species